GAUGAACGCUAGCGGCAGGCCUAACACAUGCAAGUCGAGGGGGAAGUUACUUUCGGGUGACUGAGACCGGCGUACGGGUGCGUAACGCGUAUACAAUCUGCCUUUCACUGGGGGAUAGCCCGAAGAAAUUUGGAUUAAUACCCCAUAGUAUAUAGGGACGGCAUCGUUUUUAUAUUAAAGCUUAGGUGGUGAAAGAUGAGUAUGCGUUCUAUUAGCUAGUUGGAGAGGUAACGGCUCCCCAAGGCGAUGAUAGAUAGGGGUUCUGAGAGGGAUGUCCCCCACACUGGUACUGAGAUACGGACCAGACUCCUACGGGAGGCAGCAGUGAGGAAUAUUGGACAAUGGUCGGAAGACUGAUCCAGCCAUGCCGCGUGCAGGAUGAAGGUCUUAUGGAUUGUAAACUGCUUUUGUAAGGGAAGAAUAAGGGCUACGCGUAGUUUGAUGGCGGUACCUUACGAAUAAGCAUCGGCUAACUCCGUG
rnacentral:rRNA from 1 species